GGGGCUGUAGCUCAGUGGUGGAGCACUUGCUUGGAAAGUGUGAGGGCCUGGGUUCAAUCCUCAGUCCUA
rnacentral:tRNA from 1 species